GGGCGGUUAGCUCAAUUGGUAGAGCACGGGAUUGACGUUCUCGGGGUUAGAGGUUCAAGUCCUCUACCGCCCACCA
rnacentral:tRNA from 4 species